UACGGAGGAUCCGAGCGUUAUCCGGAUUUAUUGGGUUUAAAGGGUGCGUAGGCGGGAGAUUAAGUCGGUGGUGAAAUUCUGCAGCUCAACUGUAAAAGUGCCAUUGAUACUGGUUUCCUUGAGUGUGGAUGAAGUAGGCGGAAUUUGUGGUGUAGCGGUGAAAUGCAUAGAUAUCACGAGGAACUCCGAUUGCGCGGGCAGCUUACUAAACCAUAACUGACGCUCAGGCACGAAGGCGUGGGGAUCAAACAGGAUUAGAUACCCU
rnacentral:rRNA from 1 species